GAUGAACGCUGGCGGCGUGCCUAAUACAUGCAAGUCGAGCGAACAGACGAGGAGCUUGCUCCUCUGACGUUAGCGGCGGACGGGUGAGUAACACGUGGAUAACCUACCUAUAAGACUGGGAUAACUUCGGGAAACCGAAGCUAAUACCGGAUAAUAUAUUGAACCGCAUGGUUCAAUAGUUAAAGACGGUUUUGCUGUCACUUAUAGAUGGAUCCGCGCCGCAUUAGCUAGUUGGUAAGGUAACGGCUUACCAAGGCAACGAUGCGUAGCCGACCUGAGAGGGUGAUCGGCCACACUGGAACUGAGACACGGUCCAGACUCCUACGGGAGGCAGCAGUAGGGAAUCUUCCGCAAUGGGCGAAAGCCUGACGGAGCAACGCCGCGUGAGUGAUGAAGGUCUUCGGAUCGUAAAACUCUGUUAUUAGGGAAGAACAAAUGUGUAAGUAACUAUGCACGUCUUGACGGUACCUAAUCAGAAAGCCACGGCUAACUACGUG
rnacentral:rRNA from 1 species